rnacentral:lncRNA from 1 species
CUAGCACUUUAGGAGGCUGAGGUGGCCAGAUUGACUGAGCUCAGGAGUUUGAGACCAGCCUGGGCAACAGGAUGAAACCCCAUCUCUACUAAAACAUACAAAAAAUUAGCCGGGGGUGGUGGUGCUUGCCUAUAGUUUCAGCUCCUCGAGAGGUUGAGGCAGGAGAAUCACUUGAACCUGGGAGGCAAAGGUUGCACUGAGCCGAGACUGUGCCACUGCACUCUAGCCUGGAUGACAGAGUGAGACUCCAUCUCAAAAAAAAAAAAAAAAACUACCGUGUGGUAUUGAGAAUUAAAUGAAUAGUGUGUGUAUAUUGUGUGCAAUGCAUUUGGAAAGGCACCUGGGGAGAAGGAAGAGGGAUUCAAGGGAAGAGGCAGGAAGAAGCCCCAGAGCUGGUGUCUGAAAGGUGUCACACCAUAGCCUUGAUGCACGACAGAACUCCAGGAUGCAUGUGUAAUGCACAAGAGGAAACUCCAGGGAGAGGGUUCACUCCAAGAUAAAAUGGCUGUUUGGUGCAACUAUGAGUGCUGGGCCAAGCCUGCCGCAUUGACUUUCCUCAUUUAAGCAUGACCCAGGAAGAGCAAGAAAGUUAUCAUAUUGGGAAGAUUCUUGAAGAUGGGUCCAGAGACAUCCCAGUGAUGAACUGCUUGGACCUACCUGAGCCCAAAGUGAGAAGUUGCACAUCCCAGGAGAACGAAGGAAAAAAAUCUCCAAUUAAAAUUACAUUUUUCUUUUUCUUGGAAAAAUAAGACUUUGAAAUAGAAAUUAUAUAGUUAUAAACAAUAUUUAUCGUCCCCCUAUAAAAGAAAAAUAUUAUCAAAAUAAUCUAUCUCUGCAGCCUCAGUUCCUUCAAUGUGUCAUUGGUGCCACAUUACUCCAUGCUCAUCAGUUUAUUGAAACUGUGGCCUCAAGGUUCAGUGAUGGACAACAAUUCCAUGAGGACAAUAUCCUGUUUCCUACCUUGUUCUAUGCAACCUCUUCGCAUAAUAUGCUGCUGCUCUUCCUGGAGCCUCUACCACCUUGCUAAAACAUUUCUCUUCCCACUGCUACUUUUCUACUCUGUCAAGAAUAUCUUUUUUUUUUCCUCUUUGAACAAUUAUUAAUCUCUUGGCAGUUUCUUCAAUCAUGUUUCAUUCUUGCCCAUAUCUUUGACCAUAAUUCCUCCUUCCACACCAGACUUUCCCCUAGAUAAUCUUUUCUACCAUCAGCCUCUAGUUAUCACCUCUAUCAGUGGUUCUCAAAAUUUUUAAUACAUUAUGCUGGGCCCUGUGGCUCACGCCUGUAAUGUUAGCACUUUGGGAGGCUAAGGCAGGCGGAUCACUUGAGGUCAGGAGUUUGAGACCAGCCUGGCCAAAAUGGUAGAACCCCAUCUCUACUAAAAAUAAAAAACACAAAAAUUAGCCAGGUGUGAUGGUGCAGGCCUGUGGUCCCAGCGACUCAGGAGGCGGAGGCAGGAGAAUAGCUUGAACCAGG